AAUCCACUGAACAAUCUCUAUGUAAAACAUAAAAAGAUUUACCAUUAGAAUACCCAUAAUAGCAAAAGUCACAAAUUUAAGUACUGAACGUCAAACUAAAGCAUAGUAAACACAACUCUAGACAACCAUUACAAAUUCAAAGACAUGAAAAGCACUAAAAGUAGUCUACAAGAAAACAUUAAGCAUUUGAUUGGUGAUUUGCAUUGNN
rnacentral:lncRNA from 1 species